rnacentral:rRNA from 1 species
CUACGGAGGGUGCAAGCGUUGUUCGGAACAACUGGGCGUAAAGGGCGCGCAGGCGGUUUGGUAAGUCAGAUGUGAAAGCCCACGGCUCAACCGUGGAAGUGCAUUUGAAACUGCCAGACUUGAGUACCAGAGGGGAAAGUGGAAUUCCCGGUGUAGAGGUGAAAUUCGUAGAUAUCGGGAGGAAUACCGGUGGCGAAAGCGACUUUCUGGCUGGAUACUGACGCUGAGGCGCGAAAGCGUGGGGAGCAAACAGGAUUAGAUACCCUAGUAGUCC